rnacentral:rRNA from 1 species
AUCAACUUUCGAUGGUAGGAUAGAGGCCUACCAUGGUGGUAACGGGUAACGGGGUGUUAGGGCACGACACCGGAGAGGGAGCCUGAGAAACGGCUACCACAUCCAAGGAUGGCAGCAGGCGCGCAAAUUACCCAAUCCCGACACGGGGAGGUAGUGACAAUAAAUAACAAUACGGGGUUCUUUCGGAUUUCGUAAUUGGAAUGAGUACAAUUUAAAUCUCUUAACGAGGAACAAUUGGAGGGCAAGUCUGGUGCCAGCAGCCGCGGUAAUUCCAGCUCCAAUAGCGUAUAUUAAAGUUGUUGCAGUUAAAAAGCUCGUAGUUGAAUUUCGGGGUCAGUAGAUUGGUCAUGCCUCCGGUAUGCACUGGUCUUACUGGCUCCUCCUUCCUGAUGAACCGUAAUGCCAUUAAUUUGGUGUUGCGGGGAGACUGGACUGUUACUUUGAAAAAAUUAGAGUGUUUAAAGCAGGCUAACGCUUGAAUACAUUAGCAUGGAAUAAUGAAAUAGGACGUUCGAUCUUAUUUUGUUGGUUUCUAGGAUUGACGUAAUGAUUAAUAGGGAUAGUUGGGGGCAUUAGUAUUCAAUUGUCAGAGGUGAAAUUCUUGGAUUUAUUGAAGACUAACUACUGCGAAAGCAUUUGCCAAGGAUGUUUUCAUUAAUCAAGAACGAAAGUUAGGGGAUCGAAGACGAUCAGAUACCGUCGUAGUCUUAACCAUAAACUAUGCCGACUAGGGAUCGGAUGAUGUUAAUUUUUUAAUGACUCAUUCGGCGCCUUACGGGAAACCAAAGUGUUUGGGUUC